rnacentral:rRNA from 1 species
CCCUUAGAUGUUCUGGGCCGCACGCGUGCUACACUGAGUGGAUCAGCGGGUCAGGUUGCGCGAAAGUGUUUCCUAAUCUUGAAAUCCGCUCGUGAUGGGGAUUGACGGUUGAAAUUUUCCGUCAUGAACGAGGAAUACCUUGUAAGCGCGGGUCAUCAUCCCGCGCUGAAUACGUCCCUGCCCUUUGUACACACCGCCCGUCGCUCCUACCGAUUGAGUGGUCCGGUGAGGCUUUGGGAUCUGAGCGGAAAGAGCGUUUCGCUGUUUCUGCUCGGAAAACUCAGUCGAACCUUAUCAUUUAGAGGAAGGAGAAGUCGUAACA